GACGAACGCUGGCGGCGUGCUUAACACAUGCAAGUCGAACGGAAAGGCCCUGCUUUUGUGGGGUGCUCGAGUGGCGAGCGGGUGAGUAACACGUGAGUAACCUGCCCUUGUCUUUGUGAUAACUCCAGGGAAAUGCGGCUAAUACCGGAUAGGAUCUCCUGCUCCAUGGUGGGGGUUGGACAGUUUCGGCGGUUGGGGAUGGACUCGCGGCUUAUCAGCUUGCUGGUCGGGUAGUGGCUUACCAAGGCUUUGACGGGUAGCCGGCCUGAGAGGGUGACCGGCCACAUUGGGCCUGAGAUACGGACCAGACGCCUAUGGGAGGCAGCAGGGGGAAAUAUUGCGCAAUGGGGCGAAGCCUGAUGCAGCGAUGCCGCGUGCGGGAUGAUGGCUUUCUGGGUGUAAACAGCUUUCGCCUGUAACGAAGCGUGAGUGACGGUAACGGGUAAAGAAGCAACGGCUAACUACGUG
rnacentral:rRNA from 1 species